rnacentral:rRNA from 1 species
AUGGAGUUGAAUUGAUGAGUAUUUAUUAGUCCUGCUUUACUUCUUGAGAUUAAAGCAGUAUUUUACCAUCUCCUUUGAGUCUGUCCGGUUAUUAGGUCUGAAGUAUUUUCUUGGCAAUUCCAUCUAUCACAAAAAUGCUUCAAGGUGCUAAAGCACACUUUCAUCAGACCAAGACCAAUCCAGGCUGGCCCGGCCACUUUGGUGACUCUAGAUGACCUUGGGCCGAUCGUACGUCCCUGUGACGACAAUGAUACAUUUGGAAGUCUGCCCUAUCCAAUUUGAUGGUACUUUCUGUGGCUACCAUAGUGACCAUGGGUAAUGGGGAAUCAGGGAUCAAUUCUGGAGAGGGAGCCUGAGAAGCAGCUACAACAUCCAAGGAAGGCAGCAGGUGCGGAAGUCACCCACUCCUGACUCAGGGAGGUAGUGACGAAAAAUUACAAUACAGGAAUCUUUCGAGGCCCAGUAUUUGCAAUGAGUGGACGCUCAUUCCUUUAACGAGGAUCCAUUGGGAGGCAAUACUGGUGCCAUCAGCCACAGUAAUCCCAGCUCCAAUAGCGUAUGUUAAAGUUGCUGCAUUGAAAAAGGUCAUAGAUGUAUCCUGCGAUCAAGCUGGCAGUGUGCCGCGAGGCAAGCUGCCGCGAGGAAAGCUACCGCCUGUCCCAGCCCCUGUCUAUCGGCUCCCCCUUGAAGCUCUCGAGUGAGUGUGCUGGGGGUCCAAAGCGUUUUAAAAAAAAGUGAGUAUUCAAAGCAGGCCGGUCACCUGAAUACAUCAACUAGGUAUAAUGGAAUGGGACUCUGGUUCAAUUUUGUUGGUUCUCUGAACUGGGGUCAUGAUGGAGAGGGAUGGCCAGGGGCAUCCGUAUUGUGCCACAGGUGGUGAAAUUCUUGGACCGGUGCAUGACGAACCAAAGCAAAAGCAUUUCCCAAGAAUGUUUUCAUUAAUAAAGAUUCCCAUGACCUGCCGAACAGCUUCUGGGAAACCAAAGUUUUUGGAUUCCGGGGGGAAUAUGCUUGCACAGCUGGAAUUGAAAGGAAUUGACAGAAGGGCACCACCAGGAGUGAAGCCUGCGGCUUAAUUUGACUCAACACGGGAAACCUCACGUGGCCCGGACAGGAAAAGGAUCGACAGAUGAAUAUCUCUUUCUCGAUUCUGUGGCUGGUGGUGCAUGGCUGUUCUUAUUUGGUGGAGUGGUUUGUCUGGUUAAUAAGCAAUUAAACUAUUCCAUGCUUACUGGUUACAUGACCCCCAGCGGUCGCGUUAAACCUCUUAGAGGUACAAGUGAUGUUCAGCUACAUUAGACCAAGCAAUAACAGGUUUUUGAUGCCCUUAGAUGGCCAUGUUGCACAGGCACUACACAGAACAGAUUAGCAUGUGUCAACCCACGUAUAACCUGAUGAAUUCCCAGUAGUUGCGGGUCAUAAGCUUGUGUUGAUUAGUCUCUGCCCUUUGUACACACCACCGGUCGCUACUAAUGAUUGGAUGGGUUAGUGAGGUCCUCAGAUUGGCCCUGCCAGGGUCAGCAAAAGCCCUGGCGGAGACCAAGAAGAUGAUCAAACUUGACUACCUUGAGGAAGUAUAAGUCAAAACAACGUUUCCGUAGGUGAACCUGCAGAAA